CUUGCAUCUUUUCGGCACUCCACACUAUCAGGACCCUCUGCUUCUACAGUUCUGGAGGCUGAGCAGUCCAAGAUCAAAGCGCCAACACCAUGACAUUCUGGAAAUCAUCUUCUGGGAUCUUUACCUUACGAAGAAUGUCUUAAGAUAUAUGAAGGCUGGGGGCAAGACCUGCAGUAAUUUCCCAUAAGGUAAGAAAGCCAAAAGAAAUUCAGGCUUUGGCUAGUGUGCACCAGAAAAAAUGUCAUCCAAAAAUUGACCUACGGAAUGAUGACCAAAACUAGGACUUCAAAUGAAAUAGGCAGGAGGUACAUUUAGGUCCUUCAAACACUGUCAUUACGGGCUGAGAGGUGAAGAUGCAUUAGAUAAGAAAAUAGCAGGCAGGGACCCUGAAGCACUUUAAGAAACCUCAGUCUGCAGAGAAUCCUAGUCCUGGCUCCAAUCCUCAGGAAACCUGUUCUUUACCACAGGUGUUGCGCUUUUUUAAAAUAAAGGCAAGACUCUCCACCAGCCCAAAAGCUUAAGACUCACUUUAUUGCACUACUCAGUUUGUUGCAGUGACCUGGAACCAAACCCGCAAUAUCGCUCAGGUGGGAGUUUCUACUACAGCUCCACUGUUGAUGAGGAAUCAGGCAUGAGGGAAUCUUAAUAACUUUGUAAGAACAUGAAAAGAGUUGUAGGUCAAACCCCAUCACA